CCCGUCAGCGACAAAAAAAAAAACAAAAAAAAAAAAGCCCUACCCCGACCCCCAGCUUUUCCAUUGCGCGCAGCCCCGAGACAGCGAGACCCACCUUGCGCGCCGGCGCAGCCACCCGCGCCGCCGAGCCCCUCACACCACCCAACCACCACCUAACUCUGGCCACCAACCGCCGCCGUCGCUGCCGCGUGAGAUCGCGCCUCUGCGCGAGAUACGAUCGCCACUGGGUGACAUCUUCUCGCCGCCGCGCGAGACCCGUCCGCCGCCGCUCCACCAUCACGCUCCGCAGGACCGGCCAUCCCCUCCCCUGCCGCUCAAUUCAACCUCGCCGGCCAACGCGGUCCAUCGCGUCGCCUGGAUUCCAAUCUAACCCGCCAUACGACAUGGCCAAGUUCCUCCCCCCGCCAUGGCUACUACCAGGACCACCACCUGCCUGACCUGUGUGGCAUGUGGCUGCCCAGCACAUCGACGCCCCCAAGGUGCAAAAAAGUUGGAUGUAGUGAUAUGUUGGUUCAGUUUCACAGGUCCUUCAACAUUGAAAAAAAGAGUUUUCUUAUCCAAAAAUGCAUCAGCACCGUGAAGUGCUAAUUCUUCUUGUGUGCUUCUAUAGAGCCUUGUGUUUCAGUCACCACCAUGAUGAACCAACUCGUCCUAUUUUGCAGAAGCAUGUCGCAUGAUAGUUUUUAGGCGGAUGCAGUUCAGAGGUAAUGGGGAAUCAAGGUUCAGAGAGAUUUUUUUAGCACAUUUAGAGAGCUUUUUCAGUGCACUGUAGCCAAAUCCGUUCUGAAGGCCAAACUAUUCAUGUUUGGUUUUGAUUUUAUUUUACAAACAAAGUUGCUAGCGGUAGUAGAUCUUGGGAUUUGGUCACACACGGAAGAAGACAAAAAGAAAAAUAGUGAGUUGGAGAUUGCAUGUUCGUUGCUCAGAAGGAUAAGAUCCUUUUGGUUUUAGCUAAAGAACACCUAGUGGGGUAAAAAACAUUGCUUUUUCCAAACUCCACCGGUCAACUUUUUGCUCUGUUUAAUGGUUUGCUUCACAGACUAAAUUCUUGAUUGUUUCUUUAUGUAUGAGCAUCAGACUUGAUUUAAAUGCGAGGCAAUUCACUAACAGUAAUUUUGUCAAUUCAAUAAUAAAUGUACAAGUUGACCUCCUAGCGAUAUACAUGCCUAGGAAUUUUGUUCUCUGUUUUGUUUAUUGGCGCAUGCAAGAUGUUUUUCAUGUUAUGAACAUAUUGGUUUGCGAGAAGUUCAUGUACGACUACCAAAUGAGUUCCAAAAUCAAUCACCACGAAGAGAAGAGGUGAGCAGCGCACAGGCUGUUCAACUUCGCUGCCUCAGGACGUGCAACGCCGCCCAUGUGAGCAAAGGGGGACUAGUGUCUUCUUAACUGUUUAAUCUGCCCUUGUACGGUGCAUUUUGUCUCAGUUUUUAUGUGAAUUUGUUUGCUGCACUUACAUUGUCUUCAUAGGGUACAAAAGUUUGGCUACAAACUGUUCUUCAUUGUCUGUAAGAGCCGUUGUUGUACUACUACCAUGAGAGAAUGGAGCUUUUUCAGACUUC